rnacentral:rRNA from 1 species
GACGUAGGGCGCGAGCGUUGUCCGGAUUUAUUGGGCGUAAAGAGCUCGUAGGCGGUCUGUUGCGUCCGCUGUGAAAACUCGGGGCUUAACCCCGAGCCUGCAGUGGAUACGGGCAGACUAGAGGUAGGUAGGGGAGAAUGGAAUUCCCGGUGUAGCGGUGAAAUGCGCAGAUAUCGGGAGGAACACCGGUGGCGAAGGCGGUUCUCUGGGCCUUACCUGACGCUGAGGAGCGAAAGCGUGGGGAGCGAACAGGAUUGAGAA